GCUCGAUUAGGGUAGCCUGGAUAUCCUGCGGGCUUGCGGAGCCUGUGACCCGGGUUCGAAUCCCGGAUCGAGCA
rfam:Candidatus Altiarchaeales archaeon WOR_SM1_SCG NODE_34_length_18915_cov_160.117_ID_53, whole genome shotgun sequence.